GGAACCUCAGAAAAAGAAGAGUAAAGUUGUGCCCACUGGUGUUCUGAAAUCCAGUGCUAAAGGCGGGAAAA